rnacentral:rRNA from 1 species
UAGUCAUAUGCUUGUCUCAAAGAUUAAGCCAUGCAUGUCUUAGUACACGCCUUAAUACGGUGAAACCGCGAAUGGCUCAUUAAAUCAGCUAUGGUUUAUUGGAUCCUAAACGUUAAAUGGAUAACUGUAAUAAAUCUAGAGCUAAUACAUGCCUUAAAGCCCUGACCCGUGAGGGAAUGGGUGCACUUAUUAGAUGAGAAGCCAACCGGGCUGCCGCCUUUCGGGGUGGUGGUUCGUUGACUACUGGUGACUCUGGAUAAUUCUUGCAGAUCGCAGUCGGCCUCGAGUCGGCGACGGAUCCUUCAAAUGUCUGCCCUAUCAACUUUCGAUGGUAGGUGACCUGCCUACCAUGGUGAUAACGGGUAACGGGGAAUCAGGGUUCGAUUCCGGAGAGGGAGCCUGAGAAACGGCUACCACUUCCAAGGAAGGCAGCAGGCGCGCAAAUUACCCACUCCCGGCACGGGGAGGUAGUGACGAAAAAUACAGAUACGGGACUCAACUGAGGCUCCGUAAUGUGAAUGAGUACACUUUAAAUCCUUUAACGAGGAACAAUUGGAGGGCAAGUCUGGUGCCAGCAGCCGCGGUAACUCCAGCUCCAAUAGCGUAUAUUAAAGUUGCUGCAGUUAAAAAGCUCGUAGUUGGAUCUCGGUGGUCAUUACUGUUCGCUGUAUCUUUUUGCGUACCCAGAUGACAGUGUUGCAUGCUGGAGGUGUUGAGCCUGGGUGUGUCGAAAGAUGUGCUCGGCCGGUGCUGUCUGGUGUGUAGCGGUUGCUGGUGUGCCUGUCAAGAUGGCGUUGCGGUGGUGUCGCCUCUCAGCCAUGUCUGUGUGUGCGCGCGGGUUGUUGUGGUCUUUCGGGGCUGCGGUGGUUCGUGUGGUCGCGCAGGUGUGGGCGGGUGUCAGGCAGCACUCUGUCACAGGAGACUGUCGGCUCGUCUGCAUGCCCUUGUAUGCCCUUCACCGGGUGUCGGGGGCGGAUGGCACGUUUACUUUGAACAAAUUUGAGUGCUCAAACCAGGCUCUGCUGCCUGAAAAGUUUUGCAUGGAAUAAUGGAAUAGGACUUCGGUUCAAUUUCGUUGGUUUUCGGAUCCGAAGUAAUGAUCAAAAGAGACAGACGGGGACGUUUGUAUGGCGGCGCUAGAGGUGAAAUUCAUGGACCGUCGCCCGACAAACUAAAGCGAAGGCAUUCGUCAAGGAUGUUUUCAUUGACCAUGAGCGAAAGUGAGAGGCUCGAAGACGAUCAGAUACCGUCCUAGUUCUCACCAUAAACGAUGCCAACUGACGAUCCGUGGCGGUUGAGGAUAACCAUCCCCACGGGCAGUCCCCGGGAAACCUGUAAGUCUUUGGGUUCCGGGGGAAGUAUGGUUGCAAAGCUGAAACUUAAAGGAAUUGACGGAAGGGCACCACCAGGAGUGGAGCCUGCGGCUUAAUUUGACUCAACACGGGAAAACUCACCCGGCCCGGACACUGUGAGGAUUGACAGAUUGACAGCUCUUUCUUGAUUCAGUGGUUGGUGGUGCAUGGCCGUUCUUAGUUGGUGGAGCGAUUUGUCUGGUUAAUUCCGAUAACGAACGAGACUCCAGCCUGCUAAUUAGUGCGCCUGUCCUCUGUAUCCGUUGUGUUGUGCAUGCGGUGGUGUUCAUUCAUUGUCGUGUGUGCGCAUUUCAGUUGGUGCUAACGAGCUGCUUUCCGAAAGGUAGGUGGUUAAGUGAGCUCUCAACCGCGGGUACGGCGCAGGUGUUUACUUCUUAGAGGGACAAGUGGCAUUUAGCUAUACGAAAUUGAGCAAUAACAGGUCUGUGAUGCCCUUAGAUGUCCGGGGCCGCACGCGCGCUACAAUGACGGUGCCAACGAGUCUGACCUCCUGGCCCGAAAGGGUUGGGCAAACUGGUCAAUCACCGUCGUGACAGGGAUCGGGGCUUGGAAUUGUUCCCCGUGAACGAGGAAUUCCUAGUAAGUGCAAGUCAUAAGCUUGCGCUGAUUACGUCCCUGCCCUUUGUACACACCGCCCGUCGCUACUACCGAUUGAAUGGUUUAGCAAGGUCAUCGGAUUGGCGCCUUAUCAGUGUUGCUCCGAAAGGGGUGAUGCUAGACGGGAGCUGAGAAGACGACCAAACUUGAUCAUUUAGAGGAAGUAAAAGUCGUAACAAGGUUU